rnacentral:pre_miRNA from 1 species
GUGUUUAAGGGAGCUUUUGGAGUGGGUGGAGUGGUAAGAUAUCAUAUUUAUGUUGAAUCAUAAUAAUUGAAAUCUUGCCAAUGCCAUCCAUUCCUAUGGCUUCCAAUCAUUUCU